UCUCUGGUGGCUCAGAGGGUAAAGCGUCUGCCUGCAGUGCAGGAGACCUGGGUUUGAUCCCUGGGUCGGGAA
rnacentral:tRNA from 1 species